ensembl:misc_RNA 7SK 7SK RNA
GGAUGUGAGGGCCAUCUGGCUGUGACAUCUGUCACCCCAUUAAUCACCAGUGUUGAUGCGGCUGAUCUGGCUGGCUAGGUGGAUGUCCACUUCUACCCUCACGGCUCCAUGUGAAUCCCUCCCAAAGCUGCAACCAUUUCUGUUUCCUAGGUCAAGGGUAUAGGAGUAGCUGCGCUCCCUUGCUAGAACCUCCAAACAAGCUCUCAAUUCUUUUUUAACUCUCCCCACUACUCCUCUUUAAACUUUUUUUUGCCAGCAUCAGGUUAAUUUAUUUAUUUCACAAAUCUUUAUCAAGUUAA